GUGUACAGGUGUGUGUGUGAUGUCACCCACCUGUCCUGUGGUGCAGAGGUGUGUGUGUGAUGUCACUGUGUGUAACCAGUGCAGUCUGGUUCACUGUGGCCUCAGAGAUCAGCUGGAAGGUGAUGUUACGGUAACACGUCCCAGGUAACCAGUGUUUGAACACCGUCUUCCCUUUGUAGAAAUCUACAAACAGAAACAGAGGAUUCUUUUUUAUUUUCAUGAUAAUGACAUUUAAUUAAAAUCCACUAACGCCUGCUGCUCAUCACAUCUUAGCCGAUGUUAAAAACACGGCAUACCACUUCAAAACCGUAGUCCACGAACCGACAGAUGAACAGGGCACCUUUAUAAAGCAUAGAUCGUCGUUCUUGUCCUUCAGUGUAGCUGAUGUUGACUCGGCUGAAGACGUUACCGGCCGGAGGCUCGAUCUCAAACACCACCCCGGUCUCUGGAGACUCCCUGUAGUCUGAGAUGUGAGCUCUGCGGACAGGAAGAGGCUCUGAGGAGACAAAAAACACAACACAUGGCACACUUCAAAACACCUGGAGGUGAAUCAGAAAUCAUCAAAUUACAAAACACAAAUUACACAAACUUGCAUGAAACACUUAAAACACACAGAAAGUCCAUUAAAGUACAAAUAAUUCUGGAUUAUUUGA